ensembl:snRNA U6 U6 spliceosomal RNA
GUGCUUGCUUUGGCAGCACAUAUAGUAAAAUUGGAGCAAUACAGAGAAGAUUAGCAUGGCCCCUGCACAAGUAUGACACGUAAGUUCAUGAAGGGUUCCAUACUUCA